rnacentral:rRNA from 1 species
CCCUUAGAUGUUCUGGGCUGCACGCGCGCUACACUGAAGCUAUCAACACGUUUUCCCUCCCUGAGAAGGGCGGGUAACCUUUUGAAUCAGCUUCGUGGUAGGGAUCGGGGCUUGCAAUUGUUCCCCGUGAACCAGGAAUUCCUAGUAGACGCGAGUCAUAAGCUCGCAUCGAUUAAGUCCCUGCCCUUUGUACACACCGCCCGUCGCUACUACCGAUUGAACGUUUUAGUGAGGCAUUUGGACCGACGCAUCUCAGUUUAACCGCUGGUUUGUGUUGGAAAGACUUCCAAACUUGAGCGUUCAGAGGAAGUAAAAGUCGUAACA